rnacentral:rRNA from 1 species
AGGACGAACGCUGGCGGCAUGCCUUACACAUGCAAGUCGAACGGCAGCACGGGGGGCAACCCUGGUGGCGAGUGGCGAACGGGUGAGUAAUACAUCGGAACGUGCCCUGAAGUGGGGGAUAACGUAGCGAAAGUUACGCUAAUACCGCAUAUUCUGUGAGCAGGAAAGCAGGGGAUCGCAAGACCUUGUGCUUUAGGAGCGGCCGAUGUCGGAUUAGCUAGUUGGUGAGGUAAAGGCUCACCAAGGCGACGAUCCGUAGCGGGUCUGAGAGGAUGAUCCGCCGCACUGGGACUGAGACACGGCCCAGACUCCUACGGGAGGCAGCAGUGGGGAAUUUUGGACAAUGGGCGAAAGCCUGAUCCAGCCAUGCCGCGUGAGUGAAGAAGGCCUUCGGGUUGUAAAGCUCUUUCGGUGGGGAAGAAAUUGCAUGGGCUAAUACCCUGUGUAGAUGACGGUACCUGGAGAAGAAGCACCGGCUAACUACGUG